rnacentral:sRNA from 1 species
UGUACUCCUCGACCGUCGUCGGCAGAA